UCGCAUACACUCUCUAUCUCU
rnacentral:siRNA from 1 species